UACAGAGGGUGCAAGCGUUGUUCGGAAUUACUGGGCGUAAAGCGUGCGCAGGCGGUUUUGUAAGUCUGUCGUGAAAUCCCCGGGCUCAACCUGGGAAUUGCGAUGGAGACUGCAAGGCUAGAAUCUGGCAGAGGGGGGUAGAAUUCCACGUGUAGCAGUGAAAUGCGUAGAGAUCAGGAGGAAUACCGAUGGCGAAGGCAGGUCUCUGGGCUGAUACUGACGCUCAUGCACGAAAGCGUGGGGAGCAAACAGG
rnacentral:rRNA from 1 species